rnacentral:lncRNA from 1 species
UCAGGUAUUUAAAGGGCAGGGAGCAGUGGAAAUCUCCUCUCUACCUCGAGCUCUACUCACAUACCACUGCAUGGGUGUUGGGGUUCUUGUAUUCCUGCUAGUGAUGACCCUCUCCCACAGCCACCAAGUCUACUCUGUCCAGAGCAUCAAGCGCCAGUGGUGACCACGCUCACAAUUCUUCACCCCACCAUAGCUAGAACGUUCUAGGGAGUUGCUGGUCUGUAUGAAGCUUGUUCCGUAAUCAUCUCAGGUCAGUGAAGCUCACACCAUUUACUACUUGAACUCUACCACUAUUGGUUGCCUAGAACUAGGUGUGAAAUUUGCUCAAACAUAGGCUGUCAGAUUUCAGACUUAGUGCAAAUUCAAUCUGAAUAUGUGUGUUUUUACCCAACUUUGAGGCCUUGUGGUAAUAAAUCCAAAGUGAUUUGGGUUAAGAGUCUGUAGCAAAAUGAUAGAACAGAAGUAGAUGAACAAGUUUUGUGCAAAGAGAGGGCUUGCUACUAUAUGGAAUUUAGAGAAUAGCCUGCUGCAAAAUCCUCUGUCAGACAUAUUGUGGGCUGUUUCAGUGCACUGAAAAUCUAUUUCAGGGUUGUGUUUAACUAACUUUGGAGCUCUAUGGUAAUUAGACCAAGGAGAUUUGAGUUAGGAAUUCUGUAGCAAACAGAAAUGCCACAUAUAGGAGAACAAAUUCCCUUAAGUGAUUGGUCUGGUUCUACAAAAAAAAUUUGGAGUAAAAGCCCCAAGAAGUGGCGCUGUGUGAACUCUAAACUGAAUUCAGAGGACUGAAACCAAGUUCAGUAAAUUGUGGCUGAAUUUUGGACACCUUAACUUGUAGUACAUGCAGUUUGGAUCCUUGCUUAAGGCAUAAAUGAAGCACUUGGUUGGUUAUGGAGGCAAGGUUUCCUAGUUUGGUUGGUGAAUUGUGUUGUGAUAUUAGAGUAUUUAACUCUCUUAAGGUUUUGUUAGUUUUUGUGUGCACCUUUAGAGAGGUGUAAGUCUUGUGAUGCUUCUUAGUAUUUUCUUUUCAAGUUGCAUAAGCAUAGAUCAUGUCAUUUCAUAUAGAACUCCUACCAGAAGGAGUGAAGAUUCAAGCUGAAGUGGUGACUGAAGAGGAAUCUACUCCAGUGGCUGCUGAUCAAGUGGAGGAGCCAUCUAACUGGGGUUUAAUAGAGGGAUCGAGUACCUCUUCACUGCAAUAAGGCAAGCCCCGGUGCAUUUGCCACCCUCCUUGUAUUUACAAAAUUUUAUCACUUAUAUGAUGCAUUAGGUGAUAGGAGUUGAUUGAUUAAACACUUGAUGCAUUACCAUUCCUUGAAAGAAUUGAUUACCACACCUUGUUACCUGUUUUAUAAAAGCUAGAGAUGCUUAGUCAUGCUGAUAGACUAAGAAAAAUAUUUUUGAUCUGUGACUCAUGUUUUUACAAAAAGAAAAUGGGCUUGGGAUAAUGAAGGCAUCAAGACGUUGAUAAAUUCAUUAUCCAGGCAUGGCCCCUCUGUCAGGCGCCAAAGUUUUGAAAUAGCUUAAAAUGGGACCAGACGUUGAGCAGGAAAGGUCGCCCGUCUGUGUCGAUUAAGGACCGUACCGAUUGUUGGCCUGAUGAUCUAGGACCUUUUAACUGGCCACAUACCUCGUCAUGGGUAAGCCUGAACCCGGCUAUUCCAUACGUGAAAAGACAACCGCGCACUGGGCGUGGGAGAUGGUGGGAGUAGCAGUUACCCUCCUGGCAAGAGGCUGAAUGGUAGGGUAAUGUGCUCCCGGGUAGCGCGGACCAGUUCAUGUAGUGGAGGAUCCGUGGGAAUGGUUGACAUAUGCAAGGGUUAAGUGCUACAUAUGUCGUGUGGUUGGAGAUCCCCAGCUGGGUAUUAAUCGAUUCGGAUCGCCGUUACUUCUCGGAUAUGAAGACUGGAUCGCUGCCCUUCAUCGUAGAUAACAAGCGAAACAAAAUUUGGAUUUUAAAAGCAACCUAGUGUAGGUCAAGUGAAUGAUCUAGAUUAGGAAAAUGCUAGAUUCAGGCUAGAAGAUUCAGGUAAUAAACUAACUUGUGAAAUAAAACUUGGCUUAAGGACCCACUUCUAGUAAGCUUUUCUGCAAAAUGAGUCCUUGAACUUUGAUGAGCUUUACCUUGAUUCCCAAAAGCCAGCAUACCCUUGAGAGUCUUUUCUUUAGUCGGGUAAGUCUUGCUGAGUAAUUGCGUACUCAGGGUUUUAUCCCUUGUUGUUUUUGUAGGAGAAGUUUUAUUCCCCUAUCUUUGGGUUAGUUACUUCUUGUGGAGAACUUGAAGCUUAGAAGGUUUUUAUAUAUCUCUUUGGAAAGGCUUCACCCUUCCAAUUAUUGUAAUAAGUUAUGCACUUCGAGUACUAUCAGGACUUGUAAUAAAUACAUCUCUUUCUACCAUGUAAAACUUGAGUUCUG